rnacentral:rRNA from 1 species
CUUGGUUGGGUUGUUGCUGGCUUUUCGGAGCAUGUGCACACCUAGCACCAUUUUUACCACCUGUGCACAUUUUGUAGAUUUGAAACACCUCUUGAGGAAACUCAGUUUGAGGAAUGCUUAUGGGCGCAAGCUUUUAGGCUUUCCUUGCGUUUCAAGUCUAUGUUUUUAUAUACCCCAUAAGAAUGUAAUAGAAUGUCAUUAAUGGGCUUAUGCCUUUAAAUUAAUACAACUUUCAACAACGGAUCUCUUGGCUCUCGCAUCGAUGAAGAACGCAGCGAAAUGCGAUAAGUAAUGUGAAUUGCAGAAUUCAGUGAAUCAUCGAAUCUUUGAACGCACCUUGCGCUCCUUGGUAUUCCGAGGAGCAUGCCUGUUUGAGUGUCAUUAAAUUCUCAACCUUUUCAGCUUUUACAAGUUGGAUUGGCUUGGAUGUGGAGGUUUUUGCAGGCUUCUCAGAAGUCAGCUCCUCUUAAAUGCAUUAGCGGAACCUUUGUGGACCAGCUUUGGUGUGAUAAUUAUCUACGCCAAUGGUUGUGAAGCAGCUAUUAUAUGGGGUUCAGCUUCUAACAGUCCA